AAAAAAAAAAAGAAAAAAAAAGAAAAAAAAAAAAAAAAAAAGAAAAGAAAAAAAAAAAAAGAGAGAGAAAAUAAAGGUUGCACCAAGUUUGAAUUAGUAUACAUGCAUUGAGUUGUUUGAUGGUUGUUGCCCAUAGUUGAGUUGGAAGUUGCUCUUCAUAUGUUUAGAAUUCUUUGGGUGUGACUUGAUUCGAGCAUGCACGAUAUUUGAUCUUCAAUGUUUGAGCUUAGGACCCCUAGGAUCUUGCCUACAUCAUUGAUAGUCCUUAGCCCCAUUACAACCAAAGAAGAAAGACCUUUUUGAGCCAUAAUGUGACUGCGAAAUAUCAUGACUAAUUGGAGUUUCUUCUUGUGUGAGAAUUACCUUAUCUUAUGGAGAGAUUGAAUGAGCGUGAGAGUUGCAC
rnacentral:lncRNA from 1 species